rnacentral:tRNA from 1 species
GGGAAGGUGGCUCAGUGGUAGAGCUCUUGCCUUGCAUGCAUGAGGCCCUGGAUUCCAUUCCU